UACGAAGGGAGCUAGCGUUGUUCGGAAUCACUGGGCGUAAAGCGCACGUAGGCGGAUUUGUCAGUCAGGGGUGAAAUCCCGGGGCUCAACCUCGGAACUGCCUUUGAUACAGCAAGUCUUGAGUUCGAGAGAGGUGGGUGGAAUUCCUAGUGUAGAGGUGAAAUUCGUAGAUAUUGGGAGGAACACCAGUGGCGAAGGCGGCUCACUGGACCGGAACUGACGCUGAGGCGCGAAAGCGUGGGGAGCAAACGGG
rnacentral:rRNA from 1 species